rnacentral:rRNA from 1 species
GUCCAGACUCCUACGGGAGGCAGCAGUGGGGAAUAUUGCACAAUGCGGGAAACCCUGAUGCAGCGACGCCGCGUGAGUGAAGAAGUAUUUCGGUAUGUAAAGCUCUAUCAGCAGGGAAGAAAAUGACGGUACCUGACUAAGAAGCCCCGGCUAACUACGUGCCAGCAGCCGCGGUAAUACGUAGGGGGCAAGCGUUAUCCGGAUUUACUGGGUGUAAAGGGAGCGUAGACGGCAGCGCAAGUCCGAAGUGAAAGCCCGGGGCCCAACCCCGGGACUGCUUUGGAAACUGUGAAGCUGGAGUGCGGGAGGGGCAGGCGGAAUUCCUGGUGUAGCGGUGAAAUGCGUAGAUAUCAGGAGGAACACCGGCGGCGAAGGCGGCCUGCUGGACCGUAACUGACGUUGAGGCUCGAAAGCGUGGGGAGCAAACAGGAUUAGAUACCCGCGUAAA